ACGGAGGGAGCGAACGUUGUUCGGAUUCACUGGGCGUAAAGGGCGUGUAGGCGGUCUGGCAAGUCAGGGGUGAAAUACCGCGGCUCAACCGUGGAAUUGCCUUUGAAACUACCGGACUUGAGGCCGUGAGAGGAGACUGGAAUUCCCAGUGUAGCGGUGAAAUGCAUAGAUAUUGGGAAGAACACCAGUGGCGAAGGCGAGUCCCUGGCACGGUUCUGACGCUGAGGUGCGGAAGCGUGGGGAGCAAACAGGA
rnacentral:rRNA from 1 species